rnacentral:rRNA from 1 species
GCCUGAGAAACGGCUACCACAUCCAAGGAAGGCAGCAGGCACGCAAAUUACCCAAUCCCAGNUUUGGGAGGUAGNGACGAAAAAUAACAAUGCGGGANUCUUCCGAGUNUGCGUAAUUGGAAUGAGCACACAUUUAAAUCCUUUAGCAACAACCAAUUGGAGGGCAAGUCUGGUGCCAGCAGCCGCGGUAAUUCCAGCUCCAAUAGCGUAUAUUAAAGWUGUUGCGGUUAAAAAGCUCGUAGUUCGAGUUCAGUUCCGGACUGACCGGGGAGGUCACCGCCCGGUGCUUCCCCGUCAGGCUCCGAACAGCUUUUGUGAGCAAAAGCCAAGCCGGUUUCGCCGGGGUGCUCUUCACCGAGUGUCCCGCGCGGCCGGCCAGUUUACCUUGAAUAAAUGAGAGUGCUCAAAGCAGGCUACUCUUAAAAAUAAAGCCCGAAUGUUACCUGCAUGGAAUGAUGGAAGAUGAUCUCGGUUCCAUUUUAUUGGCUCUGGGAAUCCGAGUUAAUGAUAAACAGGGACUGUCGGGGGCAUCCGUACUACGACGCGAGAGGUGAAAUUCAGUGACCGUCGUAGGACGAACAACAGCGAAAGCAUUUGCCAAGAAUGUCUUCGUUGAUCAAGAACGAAAGUUAGAGGAUCGAAGGCGAUCAGAUACCGCCCUAGUUCUAACCCUAAACGAUGCUGACUAGCAAUUCGCCGUCGUUAUUCCCAUGACGUGGCGAGACGCCCCCGGGAAACCUCAAGUCUCUGAGUUCCGGGGGUAGUAUGGUUGCAAAACUGAAACUUAAAGGAAUUGACGGAAGGGCACCACCAGGAGUGGAGCCUGCGGCUUAAUUUGACUCAACACGGGGAACCUCACCAGGCCCGGACACCAGAAGGAUUGACAGAUUAAGAGCUCUUUCUCGAUUUGGUGGGUGGUGGUGCAUGGCCGUUCUUAGUUGGUGGAGUGAUUUGUCUGGUUAAUUCCGGUAACGAACGAGACUCUGGCCUAUUAAAUAGUCGACGUGGGUUUUGGUGCAUGGGCCCCGUUCGACACUGUCUUCUUAGAGGGAUGAGCAGCGAGUAUAGCUGCAGGAGAUUGAGCAAUAACAGGUCUGUGAUGCCCUUAGAUGUCCUGGGCCGCACGCGCGCUACACUGAAUGGGUUAGCGGGUUUUCCUUCUCCGAGAGGAGCGGGAAAUCGCGUGAAAACCAUUCGUGAUAGGGAUUGGGGCUUGCAAUUGUUUCCCAUGAACGAGGAAUUCCCAGUAAGCGCAAGUCAUCAGCUUGCGUUGAUUAAGUCCCUGCCCUUUGUACACACCGCCCGUCGCUACUACCGAUUGAAUGAUUUAGUGAGGCCUUCGGACUGGCGGUCUUGGAACGGGUUCCGCUCGCCACCACCCCAGCGAUGGGGGGCGUCGGACUCUCCAUGACGAGCCGGAAAGAUGUCCAAACUUGAUCAUUUAGAGGAAGUAAAAGUCGUAACAAGGUUUCC